UACGUAGGGUGCGAGCGUUGUCCGGAAUUAUUGGGCGUAAAGAGCUCGUAGGCGGUGUGUCACGUCGUUCGUGAAAACCUGCAGCUUAACUGUGGGCGUGCGGUCGAUACGGGCAUCACUGGAGUUCGGCAGGGGAGACUGGAAUUCCUGGUGUAGCGGUGAAAUGCGCAGAUAUCAGGAGGAACACCGGUGGCGAAGGCGGGUCUCUGGGCCGAUACUGACGCUGAGGCGCGAAAGCCAGGGGAGCAAACGGG
rnacentral:rRNA from 1 species